rnacentral:lncRNA from 10 species
UCCUCAGAGACGGAGUAGUGGAGCUGGCCGCUCCCCACCUCCGAGGCUGCGAGGAGCAGAAGAGAAAGCAGCAGGCACUGGGCUCCAGGAUCUUCUCGCCAGGAGAACAACAUUGCAGAGAGGAUGAAGCAAAGCAGUAUCUGAAUACGUAAUGCACGCUGUUAUUUCUUUUGUGGAGAAAGACCUUGUGGUGGACAGCGACAUCAUGUGGCUAAACGGACUUGGACCAGAAGAAGCCAACAACCAGAAACAUUAUUGGGUACUGAUGCAAAAAGCUCAAAAAAAAAAGCAUGCUUUCUCUAGACAAAGGACCAGGAAAUAGGCAGCCUAGCAAG